AUGGCCGGCCUUUUCCCUAUUUUACAGAAUAUGGCACAGGAGCAAGACGAAGAGGAGCACCAGGAGAGUCUGGAGCAGGUUUACUUGGCAGCCGUUGAGAAGGGAGAUAUAGAUGCAGUGGAGUACGCCCUCAAGCAUAAGGAUGAGAUAAACGUGAUGGCCUUCGAUAACAAUGGAAGAAGUGCCAUGGUGAUUGCCCUUCUUAAUGGCCACAUAGAGAUAUUGAAGUUACUCUUAAAACACAAGAUUCACGUUGGUGACGCACUGCUAAGAGCUGUUGAUCUGGAUUUCUUUAAAGCCGUUGAAAUCUUAUGUGAAAAUUCCCAGUUUCUUUGUAGACGUGGGAUUGAUAUUAUCAACUGUAGAUCUGAAAAUGAAGACUUCCACCAAGUUAUUACGCCGAUUGUAUUAGCGGCACAUCACAAUAAUUACGACAUUAUCAAGAUUCUUCUUGAUCACGGAGCCAAUAUCAAAGACCCCGAGUCAGAUGUGUGUACAGGUAUUGGAGAGAAACACACUCUGCAACAGUCUCUGGGUACAGUGCUCGUCUACAGGGCACUUUCUAGUGAAGCCUUCAUCACUCUGACCAGCAAAGAUCCAAUCGAUACUGCGUUUAUAUUGAGCGGGAAACUGCGUAAAUUGAGCCAACGGGACGAAGAAUUUGGUGUUGAAUACAAAGAACUGGAGGAGCAGUGCGAGACGUUCGCUGCUGACUUGCUGGCCCAGACACGGAAUACUCGGGAGACUCAUACGAUUCUUACUUACAACCCGACAGAGUGGGCAAAAUCAGAGAAGACUGAUGCGAAAAUACCGCAUAAGGCAUUCACCGCAGUUAAGUACAGACAAAAGAAGUUUGUUGCUCAUCCACACUGUCAACAGUUUCUGAUUGAACGUUGGUAUCGUGGUUUGACUGACUGGAGAGAACGAAGUAGUUUCUCGAAGAUUAUUAUUAGCAGCUUGCUUAUGAUAUCAUUCCCUAUUCUGUCAAUUCUGUACUUAUUGUUUCCAAGGGGACAAGUGACGAAGUUGUUACAAAUACCGUAUGUUAAAUUCCUAAUGCGCACGGCAUCAUCGUUGGGAUUUAUUGCCCUAAUCCUUCUUUCCCUGUUAGUAGAAGACUGGGUGGACGUAGGAGGAGAAUAUGGGUCAACAGAUGCACUAAAGUAUUCCGUGUUGCAGGACAGUAUUCGUGGAAAACAACCAAGUUAUAUUGAGAUAGUUAUGUUUGCAUGGGUGUUAGGGAUGACAUGGAGGGAAAUAAAGGAGAUAUGGAAGCAAGGUGCAGCGUCCUAUGCAUUCGAUUCAUGGAACAUUAUGGACUUUGUCCAGCUGUCACUGUAUUGGAUAUCAUACACACUGAUGAUGGUAUCGUGGCUGAUUUGGAGACGGAGAUAUCAAGAACUUGAUGCUUUAAAUGAAUCAGUUGGAAUUAGCAGUGAAUUGAAACUACGACUGAAGAGAAUGUCAGUUAUGGAAUUGGACUCUUAUAUGCAGAACAAGACACUUCCGGAUUUAGAAAGCUAUGUUGACCAAGUGAUUACUAAUAUCACAGGAUUCGUUGCAGACUCUCAUAACCAACAGUUUGCAAAACUGACACAAACACUUAUACACAAUUUCAGCUGUACGACGUCCAGUGAAACGGUAACAGAGGCACCAAUACAGUUUCUGGAGGACUCGCGGGUCGUCUGGAGUGGCUAUGACCCUGAUUAAGUUGCAGAAGCAUUGUUUGCCAUGGCCAACAUUGUUAGCGUGCUUCGUCUGAUCAACAUUGUUGUUAUAAGCAAACAAGUUGGUCCACUUCAGAUCUCUCUCUGGAAGAUGUUUUAUGAUAUAGUAAGGUUUCUGGCAAUCUUUGGGUUUGUUCUAUUGGCAUUUGCUGUUGGUCUGACCCAGCUCUAUAAAUUCUAUUCGUCACUAACCAUACUAGAAUGCCGUAAUGAAGAAGCACUAUCCAGUUGUUACAGUGGAUUUACAAGCUUUACGAGCACGAUUCGGACGUUGUUCUGGAACCUGUUCGGUGUGUCUGCUUUGGAAAAACUAGAGGUUACCGCGAAUCACCCAUUUACGGAAGGUGUGGGUGAGAUUGCUUAUGCAUUGUAUCAUGUUGUUGGUAUAAUAAUACUACUCAACGCCCUUAUUGCUAUGAUGAGCAAUACCUAUACGAGGAUUGAGGAAAACUCGGACAGAGAGUGGAAAUAUUCCAGAGCCCAGCUGUGGAUGAGCUUUUUCGAAGGUGGUGCAACAGUCCCGCCGCCAUUCAACAUCAUUCCAAGUGUGAAGAGUGUAUACUAUAGAAUGAAAUCACUCAUAUAUGCUUGUUGUCCUCGCUUACAAAGGAAACGAACAAAGAAACAAUGGGAUAAAAUUGCCGACUUAGAACGACGUUAUGAGGAAGUCAUCCAGCAGUUAGUCAGUAGGUACUGGGCUGAAAAACGAUCUGGAGGUCAUGAAAAUGAAAAACACGUGUCUCAAGUGGACAUCCUACGAUUGAAGCAGGAUAUAACAGGUUUAAGGUAUGAGGUUCUUUCAAACUUACACAGAAGUGAUAGGUCCAUUCAACACAUUAGGAACUCCACAGCCAGCAUUAUGAAGAGUUUACUUGAUAUCAGAUCUACUACAGCCGAGUCUAAUCGGGAAGAUAGUUCACAGAAUACCAAGUUACAAGAUGAAAUGACAACAAAUUUUGCUACAAAUGAUGACUACUUGUACCUGCAAAAUAGUCGCUUUGUAACGAAAAUGCGCAAAAAACUCAGUCAUGGUUCGACAGAGUCUCAAACGCUAGUCAAACCAACUAUGGCCACAAUUGCAACCCAAACAGAUGUCGAAGGUGUGUUGUAUGACACAGAAGAAAUGUCGAUGUAUUUUGAUGCUGAAACCGAUGAAGAGACACCUGCAAAUAUUGACAGAGGUGAAGCUAAGGCAAUGUCGCAAGAAAUCGUUCCCCUGGAACCUGCGGCUUUGUUCGCAGAGAUAAGCAAACCCAGAGUAGGAAAUCCGUUUUGGGUGCAUUGACAAGACAAGACAAGACGUAUUUUCAAACACAAAAAUACAAUGUUUUAAAACUUGACGACGCAGCACGUAAUUUUACACUGUUCCAUGCUAUGAGAAAAUUUUAAUUAGCACAAAAUUUAAAACAAUGUUUUGUUUAUAUUAAAUAGUCGGUGAUAUAAUAAACAAU